GACGAACGCUGGCGGCGUGCCUCAUACAUGCAAGUCGAGCGGUUGUAGCAAUACAGCAGCGGCGGACGGGUGAGUAACACGUGGGCAACCUGGCCUUAAGAGGGGGAUAACGUUUCGAAAGGAACGCUAAUACCGCGUAACGCAGAGAGAUCGCAUGAUUUCAUUGCAAAAGGAGAAAUCCGCUUAAGGAUGGGCCCGCGGCCUAUUAGCUAGUUGGUAAGGGUAAUGGCCUACCAAGGCGACGAUAGGUAGCCGACCUGAGAGGGUGAACGGCCACACUGGAACUGAGAACGGUCCAGACUCCUACGGGAGGCAGCAGUAGGGAAUAUUCCGCAAUGGGCGAAAGCCUGACGGAGCAACGCCGCGUGAGUGAAGAAGAUCUUCGGAUUGUAAAGCUCUGUCAACAGGGACGAUAAUGACGGUACCUGUGGAGGAAGCCACGGCAAACUACGUG
rnacentral:rRNA from 1 species